rnacentral:rRNA from 1 species
GACGAACGCUGGCGGCGUGCCUAAUACAUGCAAGUAGAACGCUGAAGGGAGAGCUUGCUCUUCUGGAUGAGUUGCGAACGGGUGAGUAACGCGUAGGUAACCUGCCUGGUAGCGGGGGAUAACUAUUGGAAACGAUAGCUAAUACCGCAUAACAUUGACUAUUGCAUGAUAGUCAAUUGAAAGGUGCAAAUGCACCACUACCAGAUGGACCUGCGUUGUAUUAGCUAGUUGGUGGGGUAACGGCUCACCAAGGCGACGAUACAUAGCCGACCUGAGAGGGUGAUCGGCCACACUGGGACUGAGACACGGCCCAGACUCCUACGGGAGGCAGCAGUAGGGAAUCUUCGGCAAUGGACGGAAGUCUGACCGAGCAACGCCGCGUGAGUGAAGAAGGUUUUCGGAUCGUAAAGCUCUGUUGUAAGAGAAGAACGAGUGUGAGAGUGGAAAGUUCACACUGUGACGGUAUCUUACCAGAAAGGGACGGCUAACUACGUGCCAGCAGCCGCGGUAAUACGUAGGUCCCGAGCGUUGUCCGGAUUUAUUGGGCGUAAAGCGAGCGCAGGCGGUUAGAUAAGUCUGAAGUUAAAGGCUGUGGCUUAACCAUAGUACGCUUUGGAAACUGUUUAACUUGAGUGCAGAAGGGGAGAGUGGAAUUCCAUGUGUAGCGGUGAAAUGCGUAGAUAUAUGGAGGAACNNCGGUGGCGAAAGCGGCUCUCUGGUCUGUAACUGACGCUGAGGCUCGAAAGCGUGGGGAGCAAACAGG